rnacentral:rRNA from 1 species
AUGAUAUCUUGCGGGAAGCGUUGCCUCCAUAGCGCCAUGGCUUCCUCGUCCAUCUCGGCCAGGCUGAGACGGCGCUCCCGCCUUCGGUUUUUGCGCCGAUCCUCGUCGGUGAUAAGCCGCGGGAAAGGAGCCAACUCUUGUGCCCGCUCUGGCGUCGCCACGUCGGUGAAGUUCAUGUCCCAGCGGGACCGCCGGAGGCGCCACGCCGCAGCGUCGUACGCGCGGGCGCCGUCCUGGGCGGUGUCGAAGGUUCUGAGGCCGAGCGCACGCCACCGCCCAACCGGAUCGAGGCGGAGUAGGUGCCGGACGGACGCACGCGGACGCCGCGAAAGCCCGAACCUCCCCGGCGGCGAGGCGGCAUGGUGGCGCCGUGGUGUCGUAUUGGCGGCGAGAAAAGAAAGCGCUAGAGCGAGCGAGAGAGAGCGGCAGAGGCGCCGCAAUUUAUAG